rnacentral:rRNA from 1 species
CACGUAGUUAGCCGGGGCCUCUUAGUCAGGUACCGUCAUUUUUUUCUUCCCUGCUGAUAGAGCUUUACAUACCGAAAUACUUCUUCACUCACGCGGCGUCGCUGGAUCAGGGUUUCCCCCAUUGUCCAAUAUUCCCCACCGCUGCCUCCCGUAGGAGUUUGGGCCGUGUCUCAGUCCCAAUGUGGCCGUCCACCCUCUCAGGCCGGCUACUGAUCGUCGCCUUGGUGGGCCGUUACCUCACCAACCAGCUAAUCAGACGCGGGUCCAUCAUAUACCACCGUAGUUUUUCACACUGUCUCAUGCAAUACUGUGCGCUUAUGCGGUAUUAGCACCUAUUUCUAAGUGUUAUCCCCCUGUAUAUGGCAGGUUACCCACGCGUUACUCACCCGUCCGCCACUAACGUCAUCAACACUUUCCACUCUUAGCAAGCUAAUUGCUUACAAAAAUGAAUGACUCCGUUCGACUUGCUACUGUAGUUAAGCGUACGCCGACCUAGCCGUUCACUCCC